AUUGAACGCUGGCGGCAGGCCUAACACAUGCAAGUCGAACGAGUGGCGGACGGGUGAGUAAUGUCUGGGAAACUGCCUCAUGGAGGGGGAUAACUACUGGAAACGGUAGCUAAUACCGCAUACCAUCAGAUGUGCCCUGAUGGGAUUUGAUAGUUGGUGGGGUAAAGGCUCACCAAGGCGACGAUCCCUAUCUGGUCUGCGAGGAUGACCGGCCAAACGGGAACUGGGGCACGGGCCAGACUCCUACGGGAGGCAGCAGUGGGGAAUAUUGCACAAUGGGAGCAAGCCUGAUGCAGCCAUGCCGCGUUUAUGAAGAAGGCCUGCGGGUUGUAAAGUACUUUCAGCGGGGAGGCGUUACCCGCAGAAGAAGCACCGGCUAACUCCGUGCCAGCAGCCGCGGUAAUUC
rnacentral:rRNA from 1 species